CUUUGACUUAUGUCAUAAAACAAGCAUUUAUAAAACCAGUAAAUUUUGAAUCUUCCCCAUUUUAACACUACCUGCCCUACAACAAAACCCACCUUUUGAAGAACGAUACCAAUUUAUUAUUACCCAUUAACAUUUUAUUGCUUAUAUAAAUGUUCACCAUUGAGCACAUGCAUUACCAGUUGGGAAACCUUGGCCUAAAGUAGGCACAUACCCACCCUUAUAAUAAUGAACAACUCAAACCAUGUUUUA